rnacentral:rRNA from 1 species
GGAGGAAAGCAGGGGAUCGCAAGACCUUGCGCUCAUUGAGCGGCCGAUGCCUGAUUAGCUAGUUGGUGAGGUAAAGGCUUACCAAGGCGACGAUCAGUAGCUGGUCUGAGAGGACGACCAGCCACACUGGGACUGAGACACGGCCCAGACUCCUACGGGAGGCAGCAGUGGGGAAUUUUGGACAAUGGGGGAAACCCUGAUCCAGCCAUGCCGCGUGAGUGAAGAAGGCCUUCGGGUUGUAAAGCUCUUUCAGCCGGAACGAAACAGUCACGGAUAAUACCCGUGACUACUGACGGUACCGGAAGAAGAAGCACCGGCUAACUACGUGCCAGCAGCCGCGGUAAUACGUAGGGUGCGAGCGUUAAUCGGAAUUACUGGGCGUAAAGCGUGCGCAGGCGGUUUUGUAAGUCAGAUGUGAAAUCCCCGGGCUUAACCUGGGAACUGCGUUUGAAAUAGAAAGCUAGAAGGGC